UUCAGAAGUGCUUGCCAGAAGAUGUUUGUGGCACCCAACGUACAAUACUGACUCCAUUACGAACUGUGACUGGGGUUGUUGCUAUUCGCAAAUAUACCCUUGCUGUGACACACCGUUCUAUGCCAGUACCCACUUCAUAGUUAUCAUGAGUAUUUUGGGAUUCGCUUUUUUCGUUGGCGUUCUUUAUGCCAUCUUGUCAAUUUUAAGGAGAAAAUGUCAUUGUGUGACCACCGUCCAGGAUAGCAGCAGCCCGGAGUUACAGGGGAUCCGGAUGACACACGACGUCACAGGACUUUGAUUCACACGGAUAUAUCAAGACCCAGUCAAAUUUAGCAGUUCUAUAAUGAAGAAAGAAAAAAAAACAACUAUUGGCAACACAUUUGAAUAUUGAUCAUGAAGUGAAUCGGUGUUAAUAACUUGUGUAUCCAUGACAUUCUAAGUUGAUAAGAGUGAUGUUCUUUGAUAUAAGAAAACUUUUAUAAGCAUUAAAAUACAAACGUGAUAU
rnacentral:sRNA from 1 species